rnacentral:snoRNA from 1 species
AACCCAUGAUUUGGGCAUUUUCUUAGCAUCACUUUAAAUCUCUCCCAUGUUUCACUAAAAGGCUUCAUCUGAUCCUUGUCUAAACAUAGAAAUAUCAGACUUUGCUU